AGAGUUUGAUUCUGGCUCAGAACGAACGCUGGCAGCGUGGAUUAGGCAUGCAAGUCGAACGGGAAGCCACGUGUUCAAUCCUUCGGGAGAGAAUGUGUGGUGGAGAGUGGCGAAAGGGUGAGGAACACGUGGGUAAUCUACCUCGAAGUUUGGGAUAACCUCGCGAAAGCGGGGCUAAUACCGGAUGUGGUAUCUUGUCGCAUGGCAGGAAUAUUAAAGGUGGGGAUUCUACUUCGGUGGAACCUGCCGCUUUGAGAGGAGCCCGCGUCCCAUCAGUUUGUUGGUAGGGUAACGGCCUACCAAGGCAUACGGGUAGCUGGUCUGAGAGGAUGGUCAGCCACACUGGGACUGAGACACUGCCCAGACUCCUACGGGAGGCUGCAGUCGAGGAUCAUUGUCAAUGCGCGAAAGCGUGAACAUGCGACGCUGCGUGGGGGAUGAAUGCUUUCGGGUUGUAAACCCCUGUCAUCUGGGAACAAUCGUUUGGAUACUAAUAUCAUCCAAGCUUGAUGGUACCAGAAGAGGAAGCCACGGCUAACUCUGUGCCAGCAGCCGCGGUAAUACAGAGGUGGCAAGCGUUGUUCGGAUUUACUGGGCGUAAAGGGUGCGUAGGUGGUUCCGUAUGUCGGGCGUGAAAGCCCACGGCUCAACCGUGGAACGGCGCUUGAAACUGCGGAUCUAGAGUGCAGGAAGGGAGAGCGGAAUUCUUGGUGUAGCGGUGAAAUGCGUUGAUAUCAAGAAGAACACCGGUGGCGAAGGCGGCUCUCUGGAAUGUUACUGACACUGAGGCACGAAAGCUGGGGGAGCAAACAGGAUUAGAUACCCUGGUAGUCCCAGCCGUAAACUGUGUGCACUUGGUGUGGGGGGUAUUGACCCCCCCCGUGCCGGAGCUAACGCGUUAAGUGCACCGCCUGGGGAGUACGACCGCAAGGUUAAAACUCAAAGAAAUUGACGGGGGCCCGCACAAGCGGAGGAGCAUGUGGCUUAAUUCGAUGCAACGCGAAGAACCUUACCAGGGCUUGACAUGUAACUGCACGCCCCGUGAAAGCGGGGUUCCUUCGAGGGUGUUACACAGGUGCUGCAUGGCCGUCGUCAGUUCGUGCUGUGAGGUGUUGGGUUAAGUCCCGCAACGAACGCAACCCCUAUGUUUAGUUGCCACCAUCGGUGAUGAGCCGGUGAGCACUCUAGACAGACUGCCCGUACAAGCGGGAGGAAGGUGGGGACGACGUCAAGUCAGUAUGGCCCUUACGUCCUGGGCUGCACACGUGCUACAAUGGUCGGUACAGAGGGAUGCAAUGCCGCGAGGUGGAGCAAAUCCCCAAAGCUGGCCCCAGUUCGGAUUGGAGUCUGCAACUCGACUCCAUGAAGUUGGAUUCGCUAGUAACGGCGUAUCAGCUACGGCGCCGUGAAUACGUUCCCGGGCCUUGUACACACCGCCCGUCACAUCAUGAAAGCCGUCUGCACCCGAAGUCACUGUACCAACCCUCACGGGGGGGAGGUGCCGAAGGUGUGGGUGGUGAUUGGGAUGAAGUCGUAACAAGGUA
rnacentral:rRNA from 1 species